AUUGAACGCUGGCGGCAUGCCUUACACAUGCAAGUCGAACGGUAACGGGCCUUCGGGUGCCGACGCGUGGCGCACGGGUGAGUAAUACAUCGGAACGUGCCCGAUCGUGGGGGAUAACGAGGCGAAAGCUUUGCUAAUACCGCAUACGAUCUACGGAUGAAAGCAGGGGACCGCAAGGCCUUGCGCGGACGGAGCGGCCGAUGGCAGAUUAGGUAGUUGGUGGGGUAAAAGCUUACCAAGCCGACGAUCUGUAGCUGGUCUGAGAGGAUGAUCAGCCACACUGGGACUGAGACACGGCCCAGACUCCUACGGGAGGCAGCAGUGGGGAAUUUUGGACAAUGGGCGCAAGCCUGAUCCAGCCAUGCCGAGUGCAGGAUGAAGGCCUUCGGGUUGUAAACUGCUUUUGUACGGAACGAAAAGCCUUCUUUUAAUACAGGAGGGUCAUGACGGUACCGGAAGAAUAAGCACCGGCUAACUACGUG
rnacentral:rRNA from 1 species